AUGGGCAAGGCCACAUCUUCAAAUGAGGCAAGGGGCAGCACUUCUCUAAGGAGGGGCGGGCCGACCCCCACCCCGGCCCGCCGUGCUGUUCAGCGGACUGGCCACUGGAGGGCAGUGCGACCACGUCCAUCGCGCCCCUGCUCGGGCCGCAGGCGGGAGCAGCCCUCGGAGCAGCCGGGGAAGGCGGCUGCGGUGGCUUCAGCCAGGAGAGAAGACAUCGAAAGGGAUCGCGGCCCAGGCUGCGGCGUCAGCUCACCGGCCUCAGACGUUCUCAAAGGCCAAAGGGGCCCCGCCGGCGCGCACCUGCGGCCCGGGUAUCGCCGAGGGGUAUCGCCGGGUAUCGCCAAGGCCCGGCCAGCCGCCUGCAAGGCCAGGAGCAGAAAGCCGCGGGCAGCAGACGUAGCUGCUAGUGGUCAUCAGGUGUUUGGGGCAAGCUGAGCGCCUGGAUCCCAGACAAGCGUGUAUCCAAGUGUCCUAUGGUGUUGCUCACAGCAUGCAGUGCAGCUUCUUCACAGGCUGCCAGUCUCCAAGCCGGGUCAAGGACAAGCAGGCUGGAGCAGAAUCCAAGUAGUCACCCCUUUCAGGCCCUCUCCACGUGAGGACUUUGCCAUUCAAGGAGCCAGAGGACUUGCUGGGCCCGCUGCCCCUGUGGUCUUAUACCUGAUCUGGUUCAUACAUUGAUCUUGGCUCUCUGUGAUUGGGUACUUCUCAGCUUCCAGAAUAUUCUUGCUUCUAAAUAUCAGCCCUUCAAGGUCCAGCUUAAAUAUCAGCUCCACCAGUAAGCCUUCCUCCAUACUCCCCUCUUUGUUUUCAGCAGUGCCUGUCUUUUCCGUCCCUGCCCACCUGUAGUGCCAGUUGGCCUCUGCUGUGGAACUCUCCUCUUUUCUUCUCUGCACCCUCCCCCCACUGAAUUGUGGGCACCUGGAGGGUGGGGACAGUGUGACGGUGGUCUUUGCAUCCCCCAUGGUGCCUUGCACAAGUGGGUCAUUCCAGAAAGGGUGGUUGCAAGAGAAUCAUGAAAUUAUUGAAUGGGUUUUGGUGUUGUAAACAACUUCCCAAACAUUUUGAACCUUGAGCAAAGAAACAUGUAAUGGUGUUUUCUUAAGCCCUGUCAUGGAAUCCUUUUGUGUGUUUAAUUGCUUUGUUAUUUUUAAUGGAAACGUCUGGGUGCCAUAGGAACAAAAACCAUGGGUCCAAGCUCUACCAAGGGGACGAACCACAGGGCUCCACACUGUGUGGCCUUGGGGUCGGAGCCUGUGACAUGGGAUGGCAGGCAGCAGGCCAGUCCCCAAGGAGCAGCCAGCCAAGGAAGGCCUGUGCCUCUGGCUGGGUUUGAGGUCAUGAUUUCAGGCUGAGAUCUCAGGAUGAGGUAGAAAAGAAGGUGCCUGGAGAGUCUUGGAGAAGGCCAAAGCUCAAGGAAGACUCUUUUUUUUUUCUUUUCCUUUUAAAAGAAAAAGCCAGCGUGCCCCAUGAAGGACUCCAGAAAACCCCUUUCAUGCCUCACUCACAGAUGAUUUGCUGAAGGCUCAUUAAGGGGAAAACAAAGAGGUGGUUUUGUUUAUUUAUUUAAGAGGAAAAAUAAAUGAGCUGUGACAAAACAA
rnacentral:lncRNA from 1 species